rnacentral:rRNA from 1 species
UGGAGUCAGUUGCUCUAGAAGUCGGUGCGCCAACCUCGUGAGGCAGCCGCCUAAAGAGUGACUGGUGACUGGGGUG